AUUGAACGCUGGCGGCAUGCUUUACACAUGCAAGUCGAACGGUAACAGGCCUUCGGGCGCUGACGAGUGGCGAACGGGUGAGUAAUGCAUCGGAACGUGCCCAGUCGUGGGGGAUAACGCAGCGAAAGCUGCGCUAAUACCGCAUACGAUCUAUGGAUGAAAGCGGGGGACCGUAAGGCCUCGCGCGAUUGGAGCGGCCGAUGUCAGAUUAGGUAGUUGGGGGGGUAAAGGCUCACCAAGCCAACGAUCUGUAGCUGGUCUGAGAGGACGACCAGCCACACUGGGACUGAGACACGGCCCAGACGCCUACGGGAGGCAGCAGUGGGGAAUUUUGGACAAUGGGCGCAAGCCUGAUCCAGCCAUGCCGCGUGCGGGAAGAAGGCCUUCGGGUUGUAAACCGCUUUUGUCAGGGAAGAAAAGGUCUGAACUAAUACUUUGGGCUCAUGACGGUACCUGAAGAAUAAGCACCGGCUAACUACGUGCCAGCAGCCGCAGUAAGAC
rnacentral:rRNA from 1 species